rnacentral:rRNA from 1 species
UACGUAGGUGACCAGCGUUGUCCGGAUUUACUGGGCGUAGAGAGCGCGCAGGCGGUCGUUCAAGUCGAGUGUGAAAGCCCCCGGCUCAACUGGGGAGGGGCAUUCGAUACUGAUCGACUGGAAGGCAGGAGAGGGAAGCGGAAUUCCCGGUGUAGUGGUGAAAUGCGUAGAUAUCGGGAGGAACACCAGUGGCGAAGGCGGCUCACUGGCCCGGUACUGACGCUGAGGUGCGAAAGCGUGGGGAGCAAACAGG